rnacentral:misc_RNA from 2 species
AUGGAGAAUUGAUGAACGCUGUUCAUCAAUAUAAGUUUCCGUGUUUCGUUUUGUUCAGUUUUGAGAGAACUAUCUCUCAUAUAUAAAUGUAUGUUCUUUGAAAACUAGAUAACAGUGUAGCUCAUAUUUUUUUAAUUUUAGUUU